rnacentral:rRNA from 1 species
GUUAAAAAGCUCGUAGUCGAAUCUGUGUCGUGCGCCGCCGGUUCAUCGCUCGCGGUGUCAACUGGCGUGUCGCAGGACGUCCUGCCGGUGGAUUUAGCCUAGUCCUCUGGACGAAGCGGUCCAACUAAAAUCCCAUCGCGGUGCUCUUUAUCGGGUGUCGAGGUGGGCCGGCACGUUUACUUUGAACAAAUUAGAGUGCUUAAAGCAGGCUAAAUUUUGCCUGAAUACUGUGUGCAUGGAAUAAUGGAAUAGGACCUCGGUUCUAUUUUGUUGGUUUUCGGAACC